GUGCUCGCUUCAGCAGCACAUAUACUAAAAUUGGAAUGAUACAGAGAAGAUUAGCACGGCCCCUGCGCAAAGAUAACAUGCAAAUUUGUGAAGCGUUCCAUAUUUUU
ensembl:snRNA U6 U6 spliceosomal RNA